CAAUAUCAUCUGAUAUACCAAAGGAGAUUCUCAAAACCCAACCCGAGAUCUUGGAGAUCACCCCGUGCUUAUGAGCAAGCCAGUGAACAACCGUGUAGUCAUCAACGUAUUUCUCUAGUAGCCUUAACCACAAGUAAAUUUCACCUUCUCCACCUCUCACCGGAUCUUCUACCAACGGAGACAAGACUUCUAAAAUGAUUUCUUUGUUUGUCACAAGAUCUUUCACUUGUUUUGUCACCCACUCUGCCCCCGUUUCUAAUGAGUAUAGAGCUAGCUAGAUACUACAAAAGUUUUGAAGCACAGACUGGUAUAUUAUUGUCAUUUUGGGAUUUUAUUCGAUUCCAUUCACUUCUCUCCGGUUCUUCCACAAAUUUUUGCCACUCUUAAUUCUUCCACAAAUUUUUGCUCUUUAAUAACUGUAAGAUUAUUCUUUGCUCUCUGAGUUUUAAUUUGUUAAUUCAUUUAUUCCUUAUUUUGUUAGAUUUGGUAAUUAAAUUGUUUGGUUGAUUUUAAUUUACUGGUUGAUUGUUAGAAUUGUUGGUAUCAUUGUUUGAAUGUUGAUUAUUUGUGCAUAUUAAGUGUUUGUAAAAAUUGGUGUGAGAUGCUUAAUUGUUAUUAUGGUCUUGUCUUUCAUUGUUGAUAUUAUUGACUCUGAGAAUUACAACCACGACAACAAGGGUUGGAAUAAAAUGCUGAAGUGGAUCAAAAACACCAGGUAAUGAAAUUUCGGGAGCAAAUGUAUAUGUGUUUCUCAAAUAAGUUGGAACAUGUAAGGCUGGAGCUUCAGAUGAUUUUCAAGCAAUUGGUGAAGAGAGAGGAGCCUUCACUUGAUAAUUGCUUGAGAGAUAAUAGAUUCUGUGGGAUUUCAAAUUCCUUUGUCAAGCGCAAUGUUGAUGGAACUUCUGUAAGCAUUGUUAAUGUAUAGCCCAAAGUUCAGGGAUCCCACAACCGUCUAAAAGUAAUUCUACAAGUCAAAUCAAUUUGGUUCCGCCACUUCAACAAAAUAAAAUUGUUCACUGUAAUUUAUUGUUUACUUAAUCUUUUUAGUUCAAAAUUUGAAACUAAGCCCAAGAGACCUCAUUAUUACUUAGUUAAUGCCAAGUAGUAAAGAGAAGAUAACAUUUUUCUA